AUUGAACGCUGGCGGCAGGCCUAACACAUGCAAGUCGAGCGGAUGAACGGAGCUUUCUCCUCGCUUCAGCUGCCGACGGUUGAGUAAUUCCUACGUAUCUGCCUUGUAUUUUUGUCUAACGUCCUUUAACGGGCCCUAAUACCGCAUACGUUCUUAUGUUGAACGUCUGGGUUCUUCGGUCCUCCCGCUUUUUGAUGUCCCUAUGUCGGAUUAGCUAGUUGGUUUGGUAAAGGCCUACCAAGGCGACGAUCCGUAACUGGUCUGAGAGGAUGAUCAGACACACUGGAACUGAGACACGGUCCAGACUCCUACGGGAGGCAGCAGUGGGGAAUAUUGGACAAUGGGCGAAAGCCUGAUAGAGCAAUGCCGCGUGAGUGAAGAAGGUCUUCGGAUUGUAAAGCACUGUAAGUAGGGAAGAAGAGAAGUAAGAUAAAAACUGGAUGUUUUGACGGUACCAAAAGAAAAAGCAACGGCUAACUUCGUG
rnacentral:rRNA from 1 species